AGGCGAGUAUGACUCACUGAACUUAAAUGAGGGAUACAAAAAAUGAGGCAGACAUUUUCCCUUGUGGUUUGAAGUAUGUUGGCAUUAGGGAUGAUAGAUUUAAAGAUUGAACAGUGCAGUUACGGCUCCUCACAUGUCAGACAGUGUGUUUAUAAUGACUUGUAUCUGGUGCUAAUGGAUACAGAGGUCUGAUAAGGGACGUAUCCACCGGGUGAGCCCCCUUCCUGAUAAAGAAGGCACUGUCUGUAUCAUUCUGAAUCACCCGGCCCUGUGUUUGUGUGUUUUUUAUUGUAUCCAGGCAAAGGCAGUCUGAAGUUUCCAUCCUUCAGCUCGGAGCAGCACUUUCCUGAACUCCAGCCAGGAAAAUGUGUGUCGGCUUGGCAGCUCGACUGUGGGAAGACUAUGGGCAAAAACUGGUGGAGUUUUGCGGCAAAGGGCUUUAUAUAGCAUUACAGCUCCUCGGGAAUCCCUCUUUGGUGUAGAUUGAGGUAUCAAUAGAGGGAUACUGUAUGGCAAGAGCUGGAACAUAGAAGAAGUGUGGCCCACUCCUACUGUUUUCUCUGUUAUCAACUGUACACGACUUCCUGUACGAGCACUGAGGCAGGCCAGUCCACUCAGAGAGGGAGAAACAGACAGAGAUACUCCUAAAUCAGUAUGAAGAGUGGAUGACUGUAGGCUUUAGAACCAACCAAUCACAGCCUACUUAUGCUGGAUGGCAGCGUAUCCGACUGGAGACGUCUGCAAGGAAAUGAGCAAAUACAUUACAAUAUAUUUGGCAACAGCUCUGUGGAACAUUUGUGUUUCAAAGGAUCCUGAAGUACCCUGAAAACUCCUUACAUGGUUUUGGUGGAAACAUUAAACUCUGCCGAGCAGCUGAUAUGGACAUGUUCCUGCCGUCACCAAAGAGAAAAAAACCUGAGGACUGUGUGUUUAAAAUUCCCCGGUUGAAUGUCCCAGUGGACCUUCAUGUUUUGCUCUCUGAGUUCGCCAUCAAAUUUAAGAGCUGUGCAGUGAACACACUUCAUCCCAUUUUCAGCCAUUUUUUUUGAGGGGGAGGGGGGGCUAAAAUGACCAUUUUUGAAUAUUUGAUAUGUAGUUUUGAGUUAUCCGUAUUAUAUGAUUAAUUAUAUUCCUAUAUCAGCCCAAACGGGACACACAGUUUAACCCUUUAACAGUAUCUAGUAUCAAAUGAUGUGUAAUCUUUUCUAUUGACGUGUAAUCUUUUCUAUUGAAGUUAAUUUUUAUAAGUCAUUGCAGUUAAUUGGGCAUGUUGAGAGGUAUUUGUAGCCGUCAUAAGAAGGCAGCCUGAGGCAUGUUCUUCCUUGCCUUUGUACAAGCGGAUGUGAUUUUUCCAUUAACUUGUUAACACACAUCAGCAGCAUUUAACCACCCGUCUACAACACUUGAAAACAUUUCCACUGUCAUACUGAUGUCUAAAUAAUGUCAUUGAGCACUCUAAACAAGUUUGAGUACAUUUAAUUUCAAAACAAGUACAUUGUAAUAAAAGUUUUUUUAGUUAAAGCUGCAGUCUGUAACUUUUUUUGGUUAAAAAUUAUUCAAAAUCAAUUUUUGAGCAAGUACAUAACCAGCCAGUGUUCAAAACUAUCCCCUUACCUUAGCCCAAUUCACAACGAUGUUUUCUAAUUCGAGUGGUACUGGUAGGUUUCCGCGGGAAAAAUUCAUCUUUGUGUCAUUACGUCACGUCUGUUUACAAAAAGAACGAGUCCCAGCUAGUAGGCUAUAUGGCAUGUGGAGGAUGCUACGUCAUUUAUAGCCUUUAUAGCAUCUGGAAUAAGCUAUAUUCCAGAGCUUUAUAGCAGCUGGAAUAAUUAAACGUAUCAUUUUGAUAGCGGAUUGUAAUCCAGAAAGGUCCAAAUGACAAUCAUCAGUGACAACUGGAGAUUCACCCUUAGUCAAAAGCAAAAGACUUCAGACUGUGGAGUGGCUACAGAAAUUAAAAUCUACAGGUAACGCUAUGACAGUAAAUGCAAUGCUGAUGUUGUUAACAUUAAAGGGUUAGUUCACCCAAAAAUUUAAAUU